rnacentral:rRNA from 1 species
GCAUCUAGAUUCGGAUCCGCGGGCCGCAGAGUUUGAUCAUGGCUCAGGACGAACGCUGGCGGCGUGCCUAACACAUGCAAGUCGAGCGGGGGUUACUUCGUUGAGAUCUUCGGAUCAAAGCGAUAUAACUCGAGUGGCGGACGGGUGAGUAACACGUGAGUAACCUGCCUUUUGCUGGGGAAUAACUGUGGGAAACCAUGGCUAAUACCGCAUGUUGUGCAUGACAGGCAUCUGUUAUGUAUGAAAGGAGAAAUCCGGCAGAAGAUGGGCUCGCGUCCGAUUAGGUAGUUGGUGGGGUAACGGCCUACCAAGCCCGCGAUCGGUAGCCGGACUGAGAUGUCGAACGGCCACAUUGGGACUGAGACACGGCCCAGACUCCUACGGGAGGCAGCAGUGGGGAAUAUUGGGCAAUGGGCGAAAGCCUGACCCAGCGACGCCGCGUGAAGGACGAAGGCCUUCGGGUUGUAAACUUCUUUGGGGAGGGACGAAAUUGACGGUACCUCCAGAUCAAGCCACGGCUAACUACGUGCCAGCAGCCGCGGUAAUACGUAGUGGCAAGCGUUAUCCGGAUUUACUGAGUGUAAAGGGCGCGCAGGCGGCCCCAAAGUCAGAUGUGAAGAUCAAGCUUAACUUUGACAUGU